UGCAGAACUAAAUAUAAACUAUAAAAUAUAAAUGCAAGUUUCAAGGAUUUUAGAUGAGUUGAGGUAAUCAGUCAAUUGAAAUAAAUUAUUUAGGCCCUAAUCUAUGGAUUAGGGCCCACCCACUUGGAUUUAGGCCUACCCACUUGGGAACCAGGCCCAGCCAAUAAGAAUUAGUUUUUCCCUCCCAAAAAGGGCUUUAUUACAGACAGAAAUACUCGACAGUUUCAUCAGCUGCCCGGUUGGCUGGUCUCAGAUGAUCCCGCAGGUGAAGAAGCCGGAAGUCGAGGUCUUGGGUUGGUGUGGUUACAUGUGGUCUGCGGUUAUGAAUCCGGUUGGACAUACUUCCAAAUUCUCGAGACCCGUAAUCAUCCACAAUGGCAAAACAACAAGGCACAGGUACUCACACAACCAACGGACAUUGUAACAAUAAUCGACAGGACAAUGGGGAACAAAGGGCACACGUAUACAAUUACUAAUCAAAUGGGAAUAGGGACCAUGUGUGCGUAAUGACAGUUCCGGAGGGAUCCGUGACAGCUACAUGUUUUAAAGUGGCCUUUUAUUGUCCCCAGCACAAGGUACACCUGUGUAAUGAUCAUGCUGUUUAAUUACUUUCUUGAUAUGCCACACCUGUCAGGUGGAUAGAUUAUCUCGGCAAAGGAGAAAUGCUCACUAACAGGGAUGUAAACACAUUUGUGCACAAAAUACGUUUUUUGUACGUAUGUAACAUUUCUGGGACACUUUACAUGUUGCGUUUAUAUUUUUGUUCAGUAUAGAAAGAAAAUAGAAAAAUAACAUUUGCGAGACAAGGUGAAGAAAGGAGAGAUGAGAUGAGGGAAGGAGAGAUAAGGAGAGAUAAGGUGAGGGAAGGAGAGAUAAGGUGAGGGAAGGAGAGAGAAGGUGAGGGAAGGAGAGAUAAGGAGAGAUAAGGUGAGGGAAGGAGAGAUAAGGUGAGGGAAGGAGAGAGAAGGUGAGGGAAGGAGAGAUAAGGAGAGAUAAGGUGAGGGAAGGAGAGAUAAGGUGAGGGAAGGAGAGAGAAGGUGAGGGAAGGAGAGAUAAGGAAAGGGAAGGAACUCUACACCUACCCCACUGGGCACGCACGGGUUUAAUAAACAUUGGUUCAACGUCAUUUGUCAACCUAUUUUGAUGUGGAAUCAACGUGGACAACACAUUUGGAUUCACAAAAAGUAAUCAACCAGCAUUGUAACCAUUGACAUUUGGGUAAAAUUUCAACUAAAAUAGAAUGACUUCUUAAACAGAUCAGAGACCAGGCUACAAUCUUGCAUCUUUAGAGCAAAGAGCUUCUUCAAAAAGAAACUCAACAUUGCUCUUAUGGUCUUAGCUGAAACAGACAACAAAAGGACAACCGUUGGAAGAACUAGGAACAAUCUACUCCUACUGUAAUUUGUAACUCUAUGCAUUCUGUGUGUUCAACUCCUCCGUGAAAGAACCAAUAGAGAUGAUGUAAACUAAAGAAAGCAUUGUUCAACUUUUUUCUCCUCUGUAGUCAACUGUAAAUAAAUUCAAUAAAAUAGUUUUUUUUUCCUGUAUUUCCAUUGUGUGGGUCUUUGUUGUCAGUAAUAUAUUAAUAUAUGAAGAAUAUAUAGUUAUCUUUUUAAGAAACUAGAGCCUUAGUGUGGAUUAGCCAUUGAGAUGUAUUAGAAUGGUAAACAUAAAAAAACACAGUUUUAACCUAUGUGCUUUAUUACAUAUUUACAUGUAUGGCGUAUUUAUUACAGAG
rnacentral:lncRNA from 1 species